UACAGAGGGUGCAAGCGUUAAUCGGAAUUACUGGGCGUAAAGCGCGCGUAGGUGGUUCGUUAAGUUGGAUGUGAAAUCCCCGGGCUCAACCUGGGAACUGCAUUCAAAACUGUCGAGCUAGAGUAUGGUAGAGGGUGGUGGAAUUUCCUGUGUAGCGGUGAAAUGCGUAGAUAUCAGGAGGAACACCUGUGGUGUAGACGGCUCUCUGGACCGCAACUGACGCUGAGACACGAAAGCGUGGGUAGCAAACAGG
rnacentral:rRNA from 1 species